rnacentral:rRNA from 1 species
AUUGAACGCUGGCGGCAGGCCUAACACAUGCAAGUCGAACGAGUGGCGGACGUGUGAGUUAUGUCUGGGAAACUGCCCGCUGGAGGGGGAUAACUACUGGAAACGGUAGCUAAUACCGCAUACCAUCGGAUGUGCCCAGAUGGGAUUAGCUGGUAGGUGGGGUAGUGGUUCACCUCGGCGGCGAUCCCUAGCUGGGCGGAGAGGAGGACCAGCCACACGGGAACUGUGACACGGUCCAGACGCCUACGGGAGGAAGCAGUGGGGAAUAUGGCACAAUGGGCGCAAGCCUGAUGCAGCCAUGCCGCGUGGAUGAAGAAGGCCUUCGGGUUGUAAAGUACUUUCAGCGAGGAGGCGUUACUCGCAGAAGAAGCACCGGCUAACUCCGUGCCAGCAGCCGCGGUAAUAC